GGUUAAAGCAGGUCCAAUCCAGGGUCCUGAAGGGCCAACUUCUUGCAGAGUUUAGCUUCUCCCAACAUACAUAGCCAUAAGAUUCUAGUAGUCCUGAAGAUCUUGAUUUCUGUGGUCCAGGUGUGUUUAAUUGGGGAUGGAGCUAAACUCUGCAGGACAUUAGCCCCCCAGGAGCAGAACUGGACACUCGCAAAAUAAAUAAUUAGUUUCUGGUUAAAAUUACAUUUGGAAUUGAUGCUUUAUUUGUACAGUAGAUUGAUUUUAGGAAGAAGUCCAAAUGGAAAGAUGCUUCUUUUCAAACCUAUUCUUCAAAAAUGAAAGAGAAGACCAUACCACCCACAACUAAACUGCAACCGCAUACUGUUUGAUCACCUGUUAGCGUUCUGUCUCUGACAACAUAAAUGCACCCUUUUUUAAAACGUUUGAAAAACAACUGCCAAUAUGUGAUCAGGUGUUCCUGUAGCUCAACUGGUAGAGCAUUGUGCUUAAGCAAGUGCAUGGUUGGGGGUUCAAGUCCCAGGGAGCACAUGAUAGUAGAGAAUUGUUAGCAUGAAUGCAAUGUAAGUUGCUUUGGAUAAAAGUGUCUGCCAAAUGCAUAAAUGUAAUGUGACCCCAGUUAAGAGAUCUACAAACUCACGUCAGUGCAUUUGCUUCAUUAAGUCCCCCAACAGAUGACCGGAACAAGAUGCACUACUAUAAAAUGUGAAAUAUUUAUAAAAUACAUAAUCAUACUAGGACUACUUUUUUAUUUGUGCACAUACGAGAUGAAGAAUGAACACUGAAAAAAAGGAAAAGCAGUUUUACUGAAUUUACUAAAACGAUACACUUACAAUCUACUUAAUACAUUUAUGUUUAAGAUGGAAACAUAAUUGUAUUGUUUUAAUUCUAAAUGAAAUUCAACAUAAUCAUCAAAACAUGAUAUAAUCACUUUGCAAGAAAAUGUUCAAAUUGUUUCAGAUGUCAAACAAAUGGUGUUCAUGUAAAAUGACUUUUUUCUGCUGUUUGAUUUAUUUAAUUAAAAUAGGCCCAUGUCACACAAUUACUUUGUAUUUUCUAUUCAACUUAAUUCCAUUGUGUAGGCUAUAAUUAAUUUAAUUCAGGUUUGUGAAAUACGUCGUUUGCGCGGGAGCAACGCGCGCGAGAGCGUCUGCGCAUGCGCUUUGAAAUCCAGACCACACCAGGACCGUUGGUUUGGAAAGGAAGGACACAUGAGGGGACUGACUGUCUUGUUUUCAAAGCUCGUUAAAAGUGACAUUUGCUGUACAUUUGGAAUUCCAAAGCCUGUUCAGACAAAUUACGAGCUAAGUCAGUCCCCAACAAAGGCAGUUAGCCUUGUAGAAGUCGGUGAAUUAACUGAUGAAUGCCCCUUGGCUGACUAUUUGAUUGGACAUGUGCAGAUGGUAACGUUAAAGAGAUUUUUCUGCUGCAAAGGAUGACAUUGAUGCAGCUUGUGAACUUGCCAUCAGAGGACUGUGUAUCUAUCUUAAUGAGGACUCUAAAGAUCUCAUUCAGGAGUAUGCGGACAUGGAAGAAGAUCUUUUACAGUGUGCGAUUGAGAAGACUACCAUGGGCAUCUUCCUGAUAAAGCACACUGCAGACUAUGAACCCCAUGAUGUAGACAUUGUGCUAGAGGGUGUAGCAGUGCUUCAGGACCUCGACAGUGUGGAUUUUGCAACUUCAAUGUUGUUUGGUCUAAUUUAUGCUCUUAACCUGCAGUACCCCACAAAGUUGUGUUUUACAUAUGAAAUUUAGCAAAAACUCAUCAUGGACUUGGAUGCAGGUGAAUUCUCUAUCAAGGCCCAAAAUUUCACAUCUGAACUCCACCAGUGAGAUGGACUGAUUCUUGAAUGACUACUGAGACUACAAACAAUCAACCUCGGAAAAUUUCAGCAGCCUUCAUGCAAGACCACCGCAGAGGGUAAACCGUGAUCUUGUUGUUUAGACUGUUCCCCUUUGCCUGCUCUCGUUUCUUUAUCUUUUUUUUUGUCUGAAUUUGGCCCUUCUUUGGACUGGUUCAGAAGUUGAUUGAUUAGAGAGCUGAAUCUAUGAGACAUGGUUGAACUAGCAUAAAUAAGAUACAUUGUUUAUAGUUUAGGUAAGGGUCAGAUACUGUAUUUCCACAUUGUUUUGUAAUGUCUAUAUAUAAUUAUCUUUGAAACUAAAGCGUUUUUCUUGAAAUAACAGUUCCAGGUAGGGCUGCACGAUAUUGGGAAAAAAUGACAUUGCAAUAUUUUAUUUUUCUGCGAUAUAUAUUGCGAUAUGAAAUCUAAUCUAUUUUUUUCUUACAAACAAAAAUUGGGUGAGCACACUUACAUUCUCAUUUUAAAUGAUGUAAACAUCGACACCAUCGUGUCAAUUGAUUAAUAUGUGCGAGGGAGAGAGAGCAAGACAGCGCUCGUGUUGUUUGAAGCUGGUGAGCUUGCGGCCGGGGCUCGCUCUCGCUCUCUCUCUCCCUCUCUCUUCUCUCUUUCUCUCUCGCAUGCUUUCUCUCGUGCUCUCUCUCUCUCUCUCUCUCUCUCUCU